rnacentral:rRNA from 1 species
UUAAGCGACUAAGCGUACACGGUGGAUGCCCUGGCAGUCAGAGGCGAUGAAGGACGUGCUAAUCUGCGAAAAGCGUCGGUAAGGUGAUAUGAACCGUUAUAACCGGCGAUGUCCGAAUGGGGAAACCCAGUGUGAUUCGUCACACUAUCGUUAACUGAAUACAUAGGUUAACGAGGCGAACCGGGGGAACUGAAACAUCUAAGUACCCCGAGGAAAAGAAAUCAACCGAGAUUCCCCCAGUAGCGGCGAGCGAACGGGGAGCAGCCCAGAGUCUGAAUCAGCUUGUGUGUUAGUGGAACGGUCUGGAAAGUCCGACGGUACAGGGUGAUAGUCCCGUACACCAAAAUGCACAGGUUGUGAACUCGAAGAGUAGGGCGGGACACGUGGUAUCCUGUCUGAAUAUGGGGGGACCAUCCUCCAAGGCUAAAUACUCCUGACUGACCGAUAGUGAACCAGUACCGUGAGGGAAAGGCGAAAAGAACCCCGGCGAGGGGAGUGAAAAAGAACCUGAAACCGUGUACGUACAAGCAGUGGGAGCACCUUCGGGUGUGACUGCGUACCUUUUGUAUAAUGGGUCAGCGACUUAUAUUCUGUAGCAAGGUUAACCGUAUAGGGGAGCCGCAGGGAAACCGAGUCUUAACUGGGCGUUAAGUUGCAGGGUAUAGACCCGAAACCCGGUGAUCUAGCCAUGGGCAGGUUGAAGGUUGGGUAACACUAACUGGAGGACCGAACCGACUAAUGUUGAAAAAUUAGCGGAUGACUUGUGGCUGGGGGUGAAAGGCCAAUCAAACCGGGAGAUAGCUGGUUCUCCCCGAAAGCUAUUUAGGUAGCGCCUCGUGAAUUCAUCUUCGGGGGUAGAGCACUGUUUCGGCUAGGGGGUCAUCCCGACUUACCAACCCGAUGCAAACUACGAAUACCGAAGAAUGUUAUCACGGGAGACACACGGCGGGUGCUAACGUCCGUCGUGAAGAGGGAAACAACCCAGACCGCCAGCUAAGGUCCCAAAGUCAUGGUUAAGUGGGAAACGAUGUGGGAAGGCACAGACAGCCAGGAUGUUGGCUUAGAAGCAGCCAUCAUUUAAAGAAAGCGUAAUAGCUCACUGGUCGAGUCGGCCUGCGCGGAAGAUGUAACGGGGCUAAACCAUGCACCGAAGCUGCGGCAGCGACACGAUGUGUUGUUGGGUAGGGGAGCGUUCUGUAAGCCUGCGAAGGUGUGCUGUGAGGCAUGCUGGAGGUAUCAGAAGUGCGAAUGCUGACAUAAGUAACGAUAAAGCGGGUGAAAAGCCCGCUCGCCGGAAGACCAAGGGUUCCUGUCCAACGUUAAUCGGGGCAGGGUGAGUCGACCCCUAAGGCGAGGCCGAAAGGCGUAGUCGAUGGGAAACAGGUUAAUAUUCCUGUACUUGGUGUUACUGCGAAGGGGGGACGGAGAAGGCUAUGUUAGCCGGGCGACGGUUGUCCCGGUUUAAGCAUGUAGGCUGGUUAUCCAGGCAAAUCCGGAUAAUCAAGGCUGAGGUGUGAUGACGAGGCACUACGGUGCUGAAGUAACAAAUGCCCUGCUUCCAGGAAAAGCCUCUAAGCAUCAGGUAACAUCAAAUCGUACCCCAAACCGACACAGGUGGUCAGGUAGAGAAUACCAAGGCGCUUGAGAGAACUCGGGUGAAGGAACUAGGCAAAAUGGUGCCGUAACUUCGGGAGAAGGCACGCUGGUGUGUAGGUGAAGUCCCUGCGGAUGGAGCUGAGACCAGUCGAAGAUACCAGCUGGCUGCAACUGUUUAUUAAAAACACAGCACUGUGCAAACACGAAAGUGGACGUAUACGGUGUGACGCCUGCCCGGUGCCGGAAGGUUAAUUGAUGGGGUUAUCCGUAAGGAGAAGCUCUUGAUCGAAGCCCCGGUAAACGGCGGCCGUAACUAUAACGGUCCUAAGGUAGCGAAAUUCCUUGUCGGGUAAGUUCCGACCUGCACGAAUGGCGUAAUGAUGGCCAGGCUGUCUCCACCCGAGACUCAGUGAAAUUGAACUCGCUGUGAAGAUGCAGUGUACCCGCGGCAAGACGGAAAGACCCCGUGAACCUUUACUAUAGCUUGACACUGAACAUUGAGCCUUGAUGUGUAGGAUAGGUGGGAGGCUUUGAAGCGUGGACGCCAGUCUGCGUGGAGCCAACCUUGAAAUACCACCCUUUAAUGUUUGAUGUUCUAACGUUGGCCCCUGACCGGGGUUGCGGACAGUGUCUGGUGGGUAGUUUGACUGGGGCGGUCUCCUCCCAAAGCGUAACGGAGGAGCACGAAGGUUAGCUAAUCCUGGUCGGACAUCAGGAGGUUAGUGCAAUGGCAUAAGCUAGCUUGACUGCGAGCGUGACGGCGCGAGCAGGUGCGAAAGCAGGUCAUAGUGAUCCGGUGGUUCUGAAUGGAAGGGCCAUCGCUCAACGGAUAAAAGGUACUCCGGGGAUAACAGGCUGAUACCGCCCAAGAGUUCAUAUCGACGGCGGUGUUUGGCACCUCGAUGUCGGCUCAUCACAUCCUGGGGCUGAAGUAGGUCCCAAGGGUAUGGCUGUUCGCCAUUUAAAGUGGUACGCGAGCUGGGUUUAGAACGUCGUGAGACAGUUCGGUCCCUAUCUGCCGUGGGCGCUGGAGAAUUGAGGGGGGCUGCUCCUAGUACGAGAGGACCGGAGUGGACGCAUCACUGGUGUUCGGGUUGUCAUGCCAAUGGCACUGCCCGGUAGCUAAAUGCGGAAGAGAUAAGUGCUGAAAGCAUCUAAGCACGAAACUUGCCCCGAGAUGAGUUCUCCCUGAGACUUUAAGUCUCCUGAAGGAACGUUGAAGACGACGACGUUGAUAGGCCGGGUGUGUAAGCGCAGCGAUGCGUUGAGCUAACCGGUACUAAUGAACCGUGAGGCUUAACCU